rnacentral:lncRNA from 1 species
UCCGGUGUUCACGUCUUUUGGUGGGUGUCCUUGGCUGCUACUGUUAUAUGGGUGUAAUAGCUGAAGAGGAAGCAUAUAAGUCAGAAUUAUUCCAGAAAGCCAAGUCUCUAAUGCAAUGUGCAGGAGAAAGUAUCACUCUGUUUAAAAAUAAGACAAAUGAGGAAUUCAGAAUUGGUUCCUUGAGAAAUAUGAUGCAGCUAUGUACACGUUGCUUGAGCAACUGUACCAAGAGUCCAAAUAAGAUUGCAUCUGGCUUUUUCCUGCGAUUGUUAACAUCAAAGCUAAUGAAUGACAUUGCAGAUAUUUGU